rnacentral:rRNA from 1 species
GAAGCGCAUACGGUGGAUGCCUUGGCAGUCAGAGGCUAUGAAAGACGUGGUAGCCUGCGAAAAGCUUCGGGGAGUCGGCAAACAGACUUUGAUCCGGAGAUGUCUGAAUGGGGGAACCCAGCCAUCAUAAGAUGGUUACCUUACACUGAAUACAUAGGUGUAUGGAGCGAACCAGGGGAACUGAAACAUCUAAGUACCCUGAGGAAAAGAAAUCAACCGAGAUUCCCUUAGUAGUGGCGAGCGAACGGGGACUAGCCCUUAAGUGGCUUUGAGAUUAGCGGAACGCUCUGGAAAGUGCGGCCAUAGUGGGUGAUAGCCCUGUACGCGAAAAUCUCUUAGUCAUGAAAUCGAGUAGGACGGAGCACGAGAAACUUUGUCUGAAUAUGGGGGGACCAUCCUCCAAGGCUAAAUACUACUGACUGACCGAUAGUGAACUAGUACCGUGAGGGAAAGGCGAAAAGAACCCCGGUGAGGGGAGUGAAAUAGAUCCUGAAACCGCGUACGUACAAGCAGUCGGAGCCCUUCGGGGUGACGGCGUACCUUUUGUAUAAUGGGUCAGCGAGUUAUUGUCUGUAGCAAGGUUAACCGUCUAGGGGAGCCGUAGGGAAACCGAGUCUUAAUAGGGCGCUUAGUUGCAGGUAAUAGACCCGAAACCGGACGAUCUAGCCAUGGCCAGGUUGAAGGUGCCGUAACAGGCACUGGAGGACCGAACCCACCUAUGUUGAAAAAUGGGGGGAUGAGCUGUGGCUCGGAGUGAAAGGCUAAUCAAGUCCGGAGAUAGCUGGUUCUCCCCGAAAUCUAUUUAGGUAGAGCCUCGUGAAUAACUGCUGGGGGUAAAGCACUGUUUCGGCUAGGGGGUCAUCCCGACUUACCAAACCGAUGCAAACUCUGAAUACCAGUAAGUUCAAUCACGGGAGACAGACAGCGGGUGCUAACGUCCGUUGUCAAGAGGGCAACAACCCAGACCACCAGCUAAGGUCCCUAAUAUCAGUUCAGUGGGAAACGAUGUGGGAAGGCUUAGACAGCUAGGAGGUUGGCUUAGAAGCAGCCACCCUUUAAAGAAAGCGUAAUAGCUCACUAGUCGAGUCGGCCUGCGCGGAAGAUAUACCGGGGCUAAACUGAUAACCGAAGCUGUGGGAGCACACUUGUGUGCUCGGUAGAGGAGCGUUCUGUAAGCGGUUGAAGGUGUGUUGUAAAGCAUGCUGGACGUAUCAGAAGUGCGAAUGCUGACAUGAGUAACGAUAAGAGGGGUGAAAAACCCCUCCGCCGAAAGAUCAAGGUUUCCUGUCCAACGUUAAUCGGGACAGGGUGAGUCGGCCCCUAAGGCGAGGGCGAAAGCCGUAGUCGAUGGGAAAUCGGUUAAAAUUCCGAUACCGAUUUUUACUGCGAUGGAGUGACGGAGAAGGCUAGGCUAGCACGGCGAUGGUUGUCCGUGUUCAAGCGUGUAGGUAGGGGGAUUAGGUAAAUCCGGUCCCUCGUUAAUCUGAGACGUGAUAACGAUCUCCUGGGGAAACCCUCGAGAGAAGUAGUCGAUGCCAUACUUCCAGGAAAAACUUCUAAGCUUCAGGUAAAAAUCGACCGUACUGUAAACCGACACAGGUGAUCAGGUAGAGAAUACCAAGGCGCUUGAGAGAACUUGGGUGAAGGAACUAGGCAAAAUGGUACCGUAACUUCGGGAGAAGGUACGCUCCCUUUGGUGAAGCACUUGCUGCGUAAGCUGAGGGGAGUCGAAGUGACCAGGUGGCUGCAACUGUUUAUUAAAAACAUAGCACUCUGCAAACUCGCGAGAGGAAGUAUAGGGUGUGACGCCUGCCCGGUGCCGGAAGGUUAAAUGAUGGGGUUAGCUUCGGCGAAGCUCUUGAUUGAAGCCCCGGUAAACGGCGGCCGUAACAAUAACGGUCCUAAGGUAGCGAAAUUCCUUGUCGGGUAAGUUCCGACCCGCACGAAAGGCGUAAUGAUUUGGAUACUGUCUCGGAGAGGGACUCGGUGAAAUAGACUUGUCUGUGAAGAUGCGGACUACCUGCACCAGGACAGAAAGACCCUAUGAAGCUUUACUGUAACUUGAAAUUGAAAUUGGACUUUAUUCGCGCAGUAUAGGUGGGAGGCAUUGAAAAUAAUCUUGCGGGAAUAUUGGAGCCAUCAGUGAGAUACCACUCUUGUAAUGUUAGAUUUCUAACUUUGAAUCAUUAUCUGGUCAAAGAACAGUUUCAGGCGGGCAGUUUGACUGGGGCGGUCGCCUCCUAAAAAGUAACGGAGGCGUACAAAGGUAAGUUCAAAUUGAAAAUAUCAAUUGUAGAGCGUAAUAGUAUAUUGCUUGCCUGACUGUAAGAUUGACAAAUCAAACAGGGACGAAAGUCGGUUAUAGUGAUCCGGUGAUUCUGUGUGGAAAAGAUCACCGCUCAACGGAUAAAAGGUACGCCGGGGAUAACAGGCUAAUCACCCCUUAGAGACCCUAUCGACGGGGUGGCUUGGCACCUCGAUGUUGGAUUAUCGCAUCCUGGAAUUGAAGAAGAUUCCAAGGGUUUGGCUGUUCGCCAAGAAAAGCGGUACAUGAUCUGAGUUUAGAACGUCGUGAGACAGUUUGGUCCCUAUCUACCGUAGGCGGAAGAAAACUGAAAGGAGUAAACCCUAGUACGAGAGGACCGGGAAAAGUAAAUCAAUGGUGGAUCGGUUGUUGUACCAACGGCAUAGCCGAAUAGCUACAUUUAUAAUAGAUAAUUGCUGAAAGCAUCUAAGCAAGAAACUAGCCUUAAGAUAAGUUUUCUAAAAGAUGUAAUAGAUUAUUACUUUGAUAGGUUUUGUGUGUAAGAAUUGUAAAAUUUUUAGCUAAUAAAUACUAAUGUCUUU